GGUUAAGCGACUAAGCGUACACGGUGGAUGCCCUGGCAGUCAGAGGCGAUGAAGGGCGUGCUAAUCUGCGAUAAGCGCCGGUAAGGUGAUAUGAACCGUUAUAACCGGCGAUACCCGAAUGGGGAAACCCAGUGUGACUCGUCACACUAUCAUUAACUGAAUCCAUAGGUUAAUGAGGCGAACCGGGGGAACUGAAACAUCUAAGUACCCCGAGGAAAAGAAAUCAACCGAGAUUCCCCCAGUAGCGGCGAGCGAACGGGGAGGAGCCCAGAGCCUGAAUCAGCAUGUGUGUUAGUGGAAGCGUCUGGAAAGGCGCGCGAUACAGGGUGACAGCCCCGUACACAAAAGCGCAUGUGCUGUGAGCUCGAUGAGUAGGGCGGGACACGUGGUAUCCUGUCUGAAUAUGGGGGGACCAUCCUCCAAGGCUAAAUACUCCUGACUGACCGAUAGUGAACCAGUACCGUGAGGGAAAGGCGAAAAGAACCCCGGCGAGGGGAGUGAAAAAGAACCUGAAACCGUGUACGUACAAGCAGUGGGAGCCCCACCACCAAAGCAUUCUCUGGUGUUGAAGGCCCUGCAAAGCAGCAUCGCGGUGGCGGAGCGUCGUUUGCGACGCCCAACACACAAAACAAGCGGUGAAUGCUUUGGGGUGGGGUGACUGCGUACCUUUUGUAUAAUGGGUCAGCGACUUAUAUUCUGUAGCAAGGUUAACCGAAUAGGGGAGCCGGAGGGAAACCGAGUCUUAAUUGGGCGUUAAGUUGCAGGGUAUAGACCCGAAACCCGGUGAUCUAGCCAUGGGCAGGUUGAAGGUUGGGUAACACUAACUGGAGGACCGAACCGACUAAUGUUGAAAAAUUAGCGGAUGACCUGUGGCUGGGGGUGAAAGGCCAAUCAAACCGGGAGAUAGCUGGUUCUCCCCGAAAGCUAUUUAGGUAGCGCCUCGUGAAUUCAUCUCCGGGGGUAGAGCACUGUUUCGGCUAGGGGGCCAUCCCGGCUUACCAACCCGAUGCAAACUGCGAAUACCGGAGAAUGUUAUCACGGGAGACACACGGCGGGUGCUAACGUCCGUCGUGAAGAGGGAAACAACCCAGACCGCCAGCUAAGGUCCCAAAGUCAUGGUUAAGUGGGAAACGAUGUGGGAAGGCCCAGACAGCCAGGAUGUUGGCUUAGAAGCAGCCAUCAUUUAAAGAAAGCGUAAUAGCUCACUGGUCGAGUCGGCCUGCGCGGAAGAUGUAACGGGGCUAAACCAUGCACCGAAGCUGCGGCAGCGAACGUAUCACCCAAGACAACUUUACGGAGUUGACGAUUGACGGAGCGAAGCGACGUCAAAGCGUUCAUUAAAGUCGAGUUGGCUUAGGGAUACGUUCGUUGGGUAGGGGAGCGUUCUGUAAGCCUGUGAAGGUGUGUCGUGAGGCAUGCUGGAGGUAUCAGAAGUGCGAAUGCUGACAUAAGUAACGAUAAAGCGGGUGAAAAGCCCGCUCGCCGGAAGACCAAGGGUUCCUGUCCAACGUUAAUCGGGGCAGGGUGAGUCGACCCCUAAGGCGAGGCCGAAAGGCGUAGUCGAUGGGAAACGGGUUAAUAUUCCCGUACUUGGUGUUACUGCGAAGGGGGGACGGAGAAGGCUAUGUUGGCCGGGCGACGGUUGUCCCGGUUUAAGCGUGUAGGUGUGUGUUCCAGGUAAAUCCGGUUCACUUUAACACUGAGGCGUGAUGACGAGGCACUACGGUGCUGAAGCAACAAAUGCCCUGCUUCCAGGAAAAGCCUCUAAGCAUCAGGUAACAUCAAAUCGUACCCCAAACCGACACAGGUGGUCAGGUAGAGAAUACCAAGGCGCUUGAGAGAACUCGGGUGAAGGAACUAGGCAAAAUGGUGCCGUAACUUCGGGAGAAGGCACGCUGACACGUAGGUGAAGUGAUUUACUCACGGAGCUGAAGUCAGUCGAAGAUACCAGCUGGCUGCAACUGUUUAUUAAAAACACAGCACUGUGCAAACACGAAAGUGGACGUAUACGGUGUGACGCCUGCCCGGUGCCGGAAGGUUAAUUGAUGGGGUCAGCGCAAGCGAAGCUCCUGAUCGAAGCCCCGGUAAACGGCGGCCGUAACUAUAACGGUCCUAAGGUAGCGAAAUUCCUUGUCGGGUAAGUUCCGACCUGCACGAAUGGCGUAAUGAUGGCCAGGCUGUCUCCACCCGAGACUCAGUGAAAUUGAACUCGCUGUGAAGAUGCAGUGUACCCGCGGCAAGACGGAAAGACCCCGUGAACCUUUACUAUAGCUUGACACUGAACAUUGAGCCUUGAUGUGUAGGAUAGGUGGGAGGCUUUGAAGUGUGGACGCCAGUCUGCAUGGAGCCGACCUUGAAAUACCACCCUUUAAUGUUUGAUGUUCUAACGUGGACCCGUAAUCCGGGUUGCGGACAGUGUCUGGUGGGUAGUUUGACUGGGGCGGUCUCCUCCUAAAGAGUAACGGAGGAGCACGAAGGUUGGCUAAUCCUGGUCGGACAUCAGGAGGUUAGUGCAAUGGCAUAAGCCAGCUUGACUGCGAGCGUGACGGCGCGAGCAGGUGCGAAAGCAGGUCAUAGUGAUCCGGUGGUUCUGAAUGGAAGGGCCAUCGCUCAACGGAUAAAAGGUACUCCGGGGAUAACAGGCUGAUACCGCCCAAGAGUUCAUAUCGACGGCGGUGUUUGGCACCUCGAUGUCGGCUCAUCACAUCCUGGGGCUGAAGUAGGUCCCAAGGGUAUGGCUGUUCGCCAUUUAAAGUGGUACGCGAGCUGGGUUUAGAACGUCGUGAGACAGUUCGGUCCCUAUCUGCCGUGGGCGCUGGAGAACUGAGGGGGGCUGCUCCUAGUACGAGAGGACCGGAGUGGACGCAUCACUGGUGUUCGGGUUGUCAUGCCAAUGGCACUGCCCGGUAGCUAAAUGCGGAAGAGAUAAGUGCUGAAAGCAUCUAAGCACGAAACUUGCCCCGAGAUGAGUUCUCCCUGAGACUUUAGGUCUCCUGAAGGAACGUUGAAGACGACGACGUUGAUAGGCCGGGUGUGUAAGCGCAGCGAUGCGUUGAGCUAACCGGUACUAAUGAACCGUGAGGCUUAACCUU
rnacentral:rRNA from 1 species